AAGGAUUCUGGCAUUUUUCUGAGCUGAAUGGGAGGCCGUUGAGGAACUUAAGGACCAUGCUGCAAAUGUAGAAGUCAGAGGAUGAUUUGCAAAGGCCAGGGAGGUGGCUUCCCACACAAAGGCACCUGCUGCCGAGCCUGACAACCCGAGUUUGACCCUGGAGACUCAGGUCACAGAAGAGAGCUGACUCUUCCUGUACUUGAAACAGGCUGGAUUUAGCUAUGAGGACAAUAGUUUGCUGACCCUCAUCCGUAAGUACUUAGACGCUACAGCAGUCA